GCAAGUCGAGCGAGAAGUUUUUAUAGCUUGCUAUAAAAAUGGAAAGCGGCGAACGGGUGAGUAACACGUUGGUAUCUGCCCCCAAGUCAGGGAUAGCCAUUGGAAACGAUGAUUAAUACCGGAUAGUCUCUUUUGGAGUAAAAAUUUAUUGCUUGGGGAGGAGCCUGCGUUCUAUCAGCUAGUUGGUGAGGUAAUAGCUCACCAAGGCAAUGACGGAUACCUGGUCUGAGAGGAUGAUC
rnacentral:rRNA from 1 species